UACAGAGGUGGCAAGCGUUGUUCGGAAUUACUGGGCGUAAAGGGCGCGUAGGCGGCCUGUUAAGUCGAACGUGAAAUCCCCGGGCUCAACCCGGGAACUGCGUCCGAUACUGGCAGGCUUGAAUCCGGGAGAGGGAUGUGGAAUUCCAGGUGUAGCGGUGAAAUGCGUAGAUAUCUGGAGGAACACCGGUGGCGAAGGCGGCAUCCUGGACCGGUAUUGACGCUGAGGCGCGAAAGCGUGGGGAGCGAACGGG
rnacentral:rRNA from 1 species